AUAAAAACAUUGAAUUCGAAUUAAAAAUUUACCUCUGCAAAUCAUAUAACCAAACGCAUAGAACGAAUGAAAUACGAGUUCCACUACCCGCCCCCAGGUGGCAUACAUACUUUAAGGCUAGGCAGGCUAAGUUGAAUACUACUCUACAAUAGGUGGCGUUAAUGGACUACGAAAAACGACGUGAAAUGAUUACUUCUUUUUAUUUAUUUAUACUUUAAUGCCAAAAUUUUAACCUAAGGCGAACUUAAUCUCACAUUUAAUAAAUUAUACAUAAAUAAGUGUUUUGAGAAGUAGUAUUUUAAUCUAUGUUCUGUGAAUGACAAGUGUUAUCUGUCAAGUGUCAAAAAACUUGAAAAACUUUUACGAAGUUUUUGAAUUAUGUUAAAUUUGUUUAUAAACACAAGUAAGUAUAGAUUAUUACACUAAAUUAAGGCAUUCUAUCAAAAAUGAAAACAACCCAAGUUUCAAUAACUACUCCUGUAACUUUGGUUUCUUCAUAUCAAAUAAUCAAUUUCAUUUUCAGUGCCAAAGGCAAGAAUAAUAGCCCACGCCAGAUGGAGACCCAGCUAAAUAAUGUAGUAACAGCGCGUGGUCGUGUGAUGAGGGUUCCUUGACUUGAGUUCUGGCGCAACACGUCCUGGGCACUAAACAAGAUUGGGGAUGGGACGUCUAAAGAGGUGCAAGCCUGGAAAACGCUCUCGUCUUGCUCUACAGCACUUGCACUUGUCCCACCAUCUACCAGUGUUGGAACUCUUCCAAUAAUUUCCCACACCCAGGUGGAGAAUACUCCAGUUACUGCUACUGCUACUCUAAAAUAUCUCUCAUCUUGUUCUACAGCGCCUGCACCUGUCCUACCAUCUACCAGUGUUGGAACUCUUCGAAGUGUAUUAAUGAUUAUUAUUUUAGUAACCAUAAAAGUUUAAAACAAUACAUUUUAUUGCAUAAUUAUUUGUUAGAAAAAACGACAAGUACAAAUGAGUAGGGAGGCUGUUGAUUUUUCAUGGUUAUUUUAUAUCUUGUUGUUCCAAAAAAAAACUAAGUUUUCAAGAAUGCUGUGAUUUAAAGUACCUAUAGUAUUAUAUUUAAAAUAAAAACUUAGUUUGUAAAGAGACGAAGGCUGACCACAAAAGAAGUACUUAUAGCUGUCUGUGUAAAGAAUUUAAAUAAAAAGAUGUGUAUAUUUGAACAGUUUUCUUUAUUUUAUUAGUCAUUUAUUCCUGUAAAUAAGCCCACACAGGGCACUUUUACAUGUCCCAACAUAACUUUACCCUACCACUUUGGCAGUAUUGUGGGUUAAGGCUGAUUAAAACGUGUUAAGUAGGUACCUACCUAACUACUUUAUUGACUUAAUUUUAAGUAAUUAAUUGCGUAGUAGUAUAGUACAAAACUUAGUGUUGAUGAAAAAGAACUCUUGUGUCUCACUAAAACUUAUUUCCAUUAACACCAAGCACUCACCGCUUACCACACUUUAUCUU